GGGUCAGUAGGUUGGUCGUGCCACCGGUACGUACUGGUCUCACUGAUCCCUCCUUCCUGAAGAACCGUAAUGCCAUUUAUUUGGUGUUGCGGGGAAACAGGACUGUUACUUUGAAAAAAUUAGAGUGUUUAAAGCAAGCUAACGCUUGAAUACAUUAGCAUGGAAUAAUGAAAUAGGACGAUAGAUCCUAUUUUGUUGGUUUCUAGGAUUGACGUA
rnacentral:rRNA from 1 species